rnacentral:rRNA from 1 species
AUUGAACGCUGGCGGCAGGCCUAACACAUGCAAGUCGAACGAGUGGCGGACGGGUGAGUAAUGUCUGGGAAACUGCCUGAUGGAGGGGGAUAACUACUGGAAACGGUAGCUAAUACCGCAUACCAUCGGAUGUGCCCAGAUGGGAUUAGCUUGUUUGUGGGGUAACGGCUCACCAAGGAGACGAUCCCUAGCUGGUCUGAGAGGAUGACCAGCCACACUUGAACUGAGACACGGUCCAGACUCCUACGUGAGUCAGCAGUGGGGAAUAUUGCACAAGGGGCGCAAGCCUGAUGCAGCCAUGCCGCGUGUAUGAAGAAGGCCUUCGGGUUGUAAAGUACUUUCAGCGGGGAGGCGUUACCCGCAGAAGAAGCACCGGCUAACUCCGUGCCAGCAGCCGCGGUAAUUC